CUGGCCUGCUCACUGACUAAGUUUUAAAGAGCCGCGGUAUUUUGACCGUGCAAAGGUAGCAUAAUCAUUAGUCUCUUAAUUAGGGGCUUGAAUGAAUGGCUUGACGAGAAAUCAUCUGUCUCUUAUUAAAUUUUAGAAUUUAACUUUUAAGUUAAAAGGCUUAAAUUUUUCUUUAAGACGAGAAGACCCUAUAGAGCUUAACAUUUUAUUUUUAUAUAAUUUUUAGUUAAUCUUUUUAUAUUUAAAGAUAAUGUUUUGUUGGGGUGACAUGAAGAAUAAAUAAACUCUUCAUUCUAAAAUCAUUAAUUUAUGUUUAAUAUGAUCCAUAAUUUAUGAUCAUAAGAUUAAGUUACCUUAGGGAUAACAGCGUAAUUGUUUUUGAGAGCUCAUAUUGACAAAGCAGAUUGCGACCUCGAUGUUGGAUUAAGAAUAAUUUUGGGUGCAGGAGCCCAGUAAUUAGGUCUGU
rnacentral:rRNA from 1 species